GCGGACGUAGUUUAAUGGCAGAAUGCGAGCUUCCCAAGCUCGGUGCGCCGGUUCGAUUCCGGUCGUCCGCUCCA
rnacentral:tRNA from 1 species